AUUGAACGCUAGCGGGAUGCCUUACACAUGCAAGUCGAACGGAGUGGCGAACGGGCGAGUAAUGUAUCGGUACGUGCCCAGUAGCGGGGGAUAACUACGCGAAAGCGACGCUAAUACCGAACACUAUUGGUGCGGCGGUCACAGGAUUAGCUAGUUGGUGGGGUAACGGCUCACCAAGGCGACGAACCGUAGCUGGUUUGAGAGGACGACCAGCCACACUGGAACUGAGACACGGCCCAGACUCCUACGGGAGGCAGCAGUGGGGAAUUUUGGACAAUGGGGGAAACCCUGAUCCAGCCAUGCCGCGUGUGCGAAGAAGGCCUUCAGGUUGUAAAGCACUUUUGGCGGGAAAGCGGUACCUGCAGAAUAAGCACCGGCUAACUACGUGCCAGCAGCCGCGGUAAUAC
rnacentral:rRNA from 1 species